ensembl:lncRNA
GUAAGUUCAUUCCGCCAGGUUUUCACCUGCGUGAAGUGAGAGGGCUGGAUAUGGAGCUCUCCAGAGAGCCCCCCUCCCAACUCCGGGAGAGGAGGCCACAGAGGCUGGGAGCCCUGGCUCUGGAGUCAGCUGCAGGCUCGGUUGUGUGACCUUGAGCAAGUCACUUGCCACCCUAUCUUAGCUGAAUGACCGAAUGGAUCCUCGUUGCUGCACUGGCUCCUCUUUAGUUGCGGUGCAGGGGCUUCUCAUUGUGAUGGAGCAGAGGCUCUAGGGCAUGCAGGCUUCAGUAAUUGUGGCCCACGGGCUCUAGAACACAGGCUCAGUCGUCGUGGCCCAGGGGCUUUGCUUCUCAGCAUGUGGGGUCUUCCCAGACCAGGGAUCAAACCCUUGUCUCCUGCAUUGGUGGGUGGAUUCUUAUCCACCCAGCCACCAGGGAAGCGCCGAUGCCAACUGUCUUGAAAGCAUUGAUCCUGGAUCCCAGACUGAAGCAGGUGAUGCUGAAACUCCUGAAGGAAUCGUGUCAUCUUGAGCUGCUCAAGUUUAUUUCCACUAAAAAUACACCCUGAAACUGGGGCACAAUGAAGGAUUUCUGACAAAUGGGGAAGAGGAAUAAAUAAAAACUCUGGGGCCUUCUGAUUCUUCACUGAGUCACCUCCAAAUACUCACCAGUGAGCUGAGCUUGGACUCUCUCCACUCGUCGCUGUCAUCAGUAAAAGCUCAGGCAGUCCGUGUGGUCUGGGAGCUUAAAAGUCUCGAAGCUUGUGAGUCAUUGUUAGGAGAGGCCCCUGAUGGAACUGAACCCUGCAUCUACCAGGGAGGAAACAGAAGAACUAGAGGGGAAGUGACUUGGUCCUGCACCAUUCGGAUGAGUGUGCUGGAGAGGGACUUAGAGCCUGCACCCGGCCUCCUCACUUCACCACCCCAACUCCCCAGUCUUCCCAAGCCCCCCGCCUGCACCCAGCACCUGUGUCUGCCGUUCCUGUGGCACAUCUUAAGGCAGCCUAGGCAUGCCAGGGGGCGGUCAAUGAGAGAAUCCUCAGUUAGCAAUAAAGAAUGCUUUCAGCUUCAGGUUACAGAAAACCAGAUCAAUGGCAGCUCAACUGUAAGGACAUUAGUGUUGACUCAUUGAGACUAGGGAGGGAGGUAGCCCCAGGCUGAGACCACUGACUCAGCCAUGUCAAGAAGGAUCCAAGUUCCCCACUCUGCCAUUCUGGGGAUUUUAACUCUUUACCCUCAAGCUUAUUGCCUCAUAUCACAAAAUGGUUGCCACGGCUCUGGAUAUCAAGUCCUUAUAAAUAGUAUGCAAAGCUAAAAGGAGUUACCUAAAAAAAAAAAAGUUUCCUUCUCUGCCUUCUCCUUGGGUAGCUCUCUCUCUUCUGUGCAUACGUAUGUGCCCAGUCAAAUCCAACUCUUUGUGACCCCAUGAACUAUAGCCCCCCAGGCUCCUCUAUCCAUGGGAUUUUUCAGGCAAGAAUACUGGAGUGGGUUGCCAUUCCUCUGCCAGGGGAUUUUCCCAACCCAGGGAUCAAAUUCAAGUCUCCUGCACUGGCAGGCAGAUUCUUUACC